CAACUUUCGAUGGUACGGUACU
rnacentral:misc_RNA from 1 species